rnacentral:lncRNA from 1 species
ACAUAUUUUUUCUUCUUAGUUUCUCGUUAACAUAAAAUACUAAUUUAGUAACAUUUGUAUUUUAAAACUGAUAAUUUAAAAAGAUAACAAAAGACAUGUUCCAUUAACGGUGAAGAAUGGAUGGAGUUAGACGGUGCAAUCUAAAUCCAUUUGCCACAAUCUCAUUCCUUAAUUUCUCUGCUAUGGCGCCCAUACAUUGAUUAUACCAUUCAAGUUGUUUCUGAAACAAACGAAGAAAGAAACUCCAAUCACAGAAGAAUAACAAGUUGAAUUUGAAUUUGAAUUUGAAUAUGGAUGACUACACUCGUGAAAUGAUGGACCUUAAGACACUCGUUACCCGUACUCUCGAGAAGAAAGGUGUCCUCGCCAGGAUUCGUGUUUGUUCCUCUCUCUUCCAAUUUCUAGGGUUUUAUUUUCCCCAAUUGUUUUCAAAAUAUAUAUUAGGUGGAUCCAUUAAAUUGUAGUCCUUCCUUGUUUGCAAAAAGAAGAUGGGGACAUCUCCUGAGAUGCUAUGCUGCUUUUGCCCUGCUCCUUUCAGACAGUUUCUUGAGGCUGUGGUGAGCAUGAAAUUUGACGAAGAACCUAACUAUGCCAAGCUAAUUUCUUUGUUUGAUGGUAUAAUCGGACCUCCAGCUUUGCGUCCAGUUAAUACUGAUGGUGCUCAAAAGGUAAUCACUAAAGUAUGGUUUCUUGUUUUUUCUUUCGCCUCUUCUAGCUGGUCAGUGUAUUCAUCUUAAGUAUGCACUUGCUCAAAAAAAAAUCAGGUUGGGCAAAAGCGGAGUAGAUUGAAUAUUGAGGAAGAUGAUGAUUCACAGCCCAAGAAGAAGGUUCGUUUAGGGGUUCCUGCUAUGCAAUGGAUUUCGAUUUACAAUGCAAGACUACCAAUGAAACAAAGGUAGAUUUUUAUUCACUUUCUGUACCUUUGCCCUUCAAUCCCAGCAAUCAUGUGUGUGUGAGUUGUGACUUGCUGGUGGCUUCUAAAAUGGUUGCAUUUUUUAGGUAUCAUUACAAUGUGGCUGAUACAAGAUUAGCACAGCAUAUUGAGAAAGGGAUUGCUGAUGGUCUUCUUAUUAGUUGUGUGUCUUCUUGUUCUAAUCUUUGGGCACUUAUUAUGGAUGCUGGAACUGGUUUUACACAUCAAGUUUACAAGUGGUCACCUGUUUUCUUACACAAGGUGAAUUAUGUUAUAUGACAUGCCAGUUUUUAUCCCUUUUUAUGCUAUGAAUCUUAUCAGUUUGUCUCUAUUUCUUUCAGGAAUGGAUCAUGGAGCAAUGGGAUAAGAGUUAUUACAUUACUUCUAUUGCAGGGUCUGUUAAUGGUGCCUCUCUUGUGGUGAUGUCAAAAGGUUUGAUCGCUAACGAAGUUGAUUUCUAUAAUGAUGAAUUGUUUCCUGGACGAUGAAUAAUAUCACGAGAAAGUCUUUCAUGAUUUGUAACUUCUUCAAUGUUGAAUUAUUCCCAUUCUUGGCCAGUGUUGUUAAAGGGUAGCAUGGUGGAAUUCUUGCAAACUGUCAUUCACCAUCUACUAUAAUGUGGUUUAUGGUGGUUUCCACCAUUCAACCCUUCGUGCCCUCCACAUCCACGUCUCUGGCAGUUUUAGUAGGGUGUUUCAGGGGUAUUCUGCGUUUUAUGCAAAAACCUAAGCAUUCCCCUUUCUCUGGAUUCUCAGUCACAAUUUUUGGCCUCUCUCUUUCGAUUCUCAUUCUAUCACGCCCAGCCUUCUCACGUCUCAUUCUCAGCCUUUGGACUCUCUCUUUCUCCAUCUCCAAUGACCAUCAAACUCUGGCAACCACCUCUGUUAGCGCAAUUCUCUUUUGCUGAAAUUGGUUCCUUUCUGUUAAUAUUAACUGUGCCCCCUUUCUUUUUGAUGUGACUUUUGACUGCUUUUAUUUCUGCAGACAUCUACAUACAAUGUUUCUACUGUUACUUUUGAUUUUGUAGUGAUUUGUGAUCUGCUUUUGCAGGCACACAGUAUACCCAACAAUCAUACAAAGUGAGUGACUCUUUCCCCUUCAAAUGGAUAAACAAGAAGUGGAAAGAAGGUUUUCAUGUCACCUCAAUGGCUACUGCUGGAAGUCGCUGGGGUGUUGUCAUGUCUCGCAAUGCUGGAUACAGUGAUCAGGUAGCUGUUACUUUGUUUUAUAUCAUGUGACGUACAGUUAACAGUUUUGCUGCUUUAUUUGAGUACUCGAUUUCCUUCCUGGGUCAGCAUGUUCUCAUAUCUUCCACCUUAUAUUGCAGGUGGUUGAACUUGAUUUUCUCUAUCCAAGUGAGGGCAUUCAUAGACGUUGGGAUAAUGGUUAUAGGAUUACAGCAACUGCUGCCACGACGGAUCAAUCUGCUCUUAUACUAAGUAUUCCGAGGCGUAGGCCUGGGGAUGAAACUCAGGAAACUCUCCGUACAUCUCAAUUUCCGAGCACACAUGUUAAGGUAAGGGAUGAUAAAUGACUAAUUGACUUUGUUAAAUUAUUAUUAUCAACACUUACUCUAAUUUUGGGUUGUCAUCAUGUUCAGGAUAAAUGGUCAAAAAAUCUAUAUUUGGCCUGUUUGUGCUAUGGGCGCACAGUAUGCUGAUUUCCUUUAUAGGUCAAAGCAUAUUAUUGGCAAAGGAAUUAUGGAUUUUCUGCUGCCCAAUAUUUUUGUAGGAGCAAGCUUUGCAGCAGAGGGCCAUAUUGUUCUGUUAUAUAAGAUUAUUGUCCUGUUCUCCUUGCUUCUUCUAUAAGCUCCACCCUUGUUUGGGGAUGUUGCAGAGUAAUGUAUGAUGUGUUGAACUCUGUUCCUCCAAUAUGUAUAUCUAUGUUUAAUAUAGUUUUGUAUGAAUGCAACCAGUAAUUGUCAAAUAUUUCGAUCAGAUUUUUUCUAUAUUUUCUCCAUGGAAUAGUCCAAUGAGAAUGAAGGAAUUGUUUUGUAUGAACAUAUUUCUCUGUGAAUGAAUGCAAAUGGACCAAAAUUAACAGUUAGCCUUGUAUUUAGUUAUAGCCAUGAUGUGUGUUUAAACAACUAACUGGGCAAUCACAGUUUAUGGCUUCUAUUCCAGCAUGAAACAACUUAGAUCAAUAUUGUUUAAUCGAUUUGAAGUUGGAACUUGGGGCAAUCACUAAUGUUCUUCAAGAAAAUAAUGGAAUAAGGGAUCACCUUGUGAAUAUUUCCCGUCAUCAUUUAUGCAUAAUGGAUCGUAGUAGAAUAUUAGAAUUAGUUUUGACUAGUGUACAAGUCAUUUUAUUAAUGUUAAAGGAUAACUUGAUAUUAAUAAGGAUAGCUUGAAGGAUUGUUUUUCCUAGAGAUGGUGAGGGAGAAGAGGAUAACUUCUAUUUGACAAUAUUUUCAAGCAUGAAAUUGCCACGUGUGUAAUUAGUGUGUCACAUCAUUGAUUCUAUUAUUGUUAAGAAAAACAAGAUAAUAAAAAAACUAAUACGAGCCCACGUAUUAAAAGUUGUGGAGCAAAAUAAUAAUUUAAAGAAAAAAUAUAUACACGUAAUAUUUUUAUAUACUGUCACUUUAAUAUUAUAAUCAAUUUUUAAUUAUCAUUGACUCUUCAGAGUGUGUAUAAAUCUCUAUUCAUAUAUAGAUCAUAGUUAUUACACUGUAAUUUGAAUUUGUUAGGGAUUUAGUUUGUACUAAUCUUAAUUUUAAUCAUUAACGAGUUUAUAAUCUCCUAUUUCAUAGUGUAUUUGAGUUAGAUUAGGAACUAAUAAUUAUUUAUUCAACUUAUGGACUAAUCUUGUUCAUUGGAUUAGCUAAUUUAUCAACUUUUAGCUUCUACUUGUGUGAAACAAAGUCAAUCUCAUAACCAUUAACUAGUUCUAUCAUUAACUACUUUUGCCAUUAUAAGGAACAAUUUUAGCAUAGCUAAGUUUUGUCAAACAAAACUGAUGAGUUUGAAUGUUCUAACAACUUAUUAAACAUUAUUUUAUAAUUAAUAAAAAGAUAUUAACUAGUUACAUUAGUUAAUAAUUUUAAAUAUAUGGAGUAAUAUCAUCAUGGUUAAACGAGUAAUGAUAGAUGACUAAUGAAGUGGAGUAAUAAGGAGCUUAAUGCUCCAUUUGAUAGGGAAUAGAAAGAAGAGAGAAAGAAAAUGAGGGAAGAGAUAUUCUAAGAGAAAUAAACUAUUUAGGUGUGAUCCAUACAUUUUGGUUCUCUAGAGAAAAUGAAAGAAUAAUUUAUUAUUUUAAACCAUGUCCCAAAUUUUGUAAAUUAGUAAUUAUAAUGAAACAAAAAUAGAAAAAAAUAAUUAAUAUUUAAUUUUUUAAUUGAUAUAACAUAUUUUCAUUUUCAUUGUUGUGGGAUAAGAGUUGUAAUAUUGUUUAGGAUAACAUAUAUCUAUUCAAGAGAUUUCAUAUAAUUUUUUCUAUUCUUUUUUUUUUAUUAUCUCGAACCAAACAUACAAAAAUUUACUUUUUUUCCCAUCUAAUUCUCUCUUUCUAGUCUCUUUCUCACAUAUUUUUUCUUCUUAGUUUCUCGUUAACAUAAAAUACUAAUUUAGUAACAUUUGUAUUUUAAAACUGAUAAUUUAAAAAGAUAACAAAAGACAUGUUCCAUUAACGGUGAAGAAUGGAUGGAGUUAGACGGUGCAAUCUAAAUCCAUUUGCCACAAUCUCAUUCCUUAAUUUCUCUGCUAUGGCGCCCAUACAUUGAUUAUACCAUUCAAGUUGUUUCUGAAACAAACGAAGAAAGAAACUCCAAUCACAGAAGAAUAACAAGUUGAAUUUGAAUUUGAAUUUGAAUAUGGAUGACUACACUCGUGAAAUGAUGGACCUUAAGACACUCGUUACCCGUACUCUCGAGAAGAAAGGUGUCCUCGCCAGGAUUCGUGUUUGUUCCUCUCUCUUCCAAUUUCUAGGGUUUUAUUUUCCCCAAUUGUUUUCAAAAUAUAUAUUAGGUGGAUCCAUUAAAUUGUAGUUGUAAUUGCAUGAUUCAUUAUCAUUAAAUUAGGG